rnacentral:rRNA from 1 species
GACGAACGCUGGCGGCGUGCUUAACACAUGCAAGUCGAACGGACGAGUGAGAUAAGUUUACUUAACUCACAAGUUAGUGGCGGACGGGUGAGUAACACGUGGAUAAUCUACCUGCAACACCGGGAUAACGCUGUGAAAACGGUGCUAAUACCGGAUACGUUCCCUUGUGCGCAUGUAUGAGGGAAGAAAGCUCAGGCGGUUGCAGAUGAGUCCGCGGCUGAUUAGCUAGUUGGUGAGGUAAAGGCUCACCAAGGCGAUGAUCAGUAGCCGGCCUGAGAGGGUGAACGGCCACACUGGGACUGAGACACGGCCCAGACUCCUACGGGAGGCAGCAGUGGGGAAUCUUCCGCAAUGGGCGCAAGCCUGACGGAGCAACGCCGCGUGGGUGAAGAAGGCCUCGGUUGUAAGACCUGUCUUAUGGUAGAAGUCAGUGACGGUACCGAUAGGGAGGACGACGACGACUACGUACGUCGCGACGACGACGCCGGACGGUAAGUAGUAGUACG